rnacentral:rRNA from 1 species
GAUGAACGCUGGCGGCGUGCUUAACACAUGCAAGUCGAACGGUGAACACGGAGCUUGCUCUGUGGGAUCAGUGGCGAACGGGUGAGUAACACGUGAGCAACCUGCCCCUGACUCUGGGAUAAGCGCUGGAAGCGGCGUCUAAUACUGGAUAUGUGACGUGACCGCAUGGUCUGCGUUUGGAAAGAUUUUUCGGUCGGGGAUGGGCUCGCGGCCUAUCAGCUUGUUGGUGAGGUAAUGGCUCACCAAGGCGUCGACGGGUAGCCGGCCUGAGAGGGUGACCGGCCACACUGGGACUGAGACACGGCCCAGACUCCUACGGGAGGCAGCAGUGGGGAAUAUUGCACAAUGGGCGCAAGCCUGAUGCAGCAACGCCGCGUGAGGGAUGACGGCCUUCGGGUUGUAAACCUCUUUUAGCAGGGAAGAAGCGAAAGUGACGGUACCUGCAGAAAAAGCGCCGGCUAACUACGUG